CCUACGGGAGGCAGCAGUGGGGAAUAUUGCACAAUGGGGGAAACCCUGAUGCAGCGACGCCGCGUGAGCGAUGAAGUAUUUCGGUAUGUAAAGCUCUAUCAGCAGGGAAGAAACAGACGGUACCUGAGUAAGAAGCCCCGGCUAACUACGUGCCAGCAGCCGCGGUAAUACGUAGGGGGCAAGCGUUAUCCGGAUUUACUGGGUGUAAAGGGAGCGUAGACGGCGAAGAAAGUCUGAAGGGAAAGCCCGCGGCUUAACCGCGGAACUGCUUUGGAAACUUUUUUGCUGGAGUACCGGAGAGGUAGGCGGAAUUCCUGGUGUAGCGGUGAAAUGCGUAGAUAUUAGGAGGAACACCAGUGGCGAAGGCGGCUUACUGGACGGUAACUGACGUUGAGGCUCGAAAGCGUGGGGAGCAAACAGGAUUAGAUACCCUAGUAGUC
rnacentral:rRNA from 1 species